rnacentral:tRNA from 1 species
AAUGAAGUGCCUGAUUAAAGGAUUACCUUGAUAGGGUAAAUCAAGUAACAGUAGGUUACCUUCAUUA